rfam:Tupaia chinensis contig15093, whole genome shotgun sequence.
ACGCUCACGACAGCAGCACAUACACUAAAACUGGAAUGAUACAGAGAAGGUUAGCAUGGCCCCUACGUAAGGUUAGAGAGGCUGAAUACCACAUAGCAAACAAUAUGGAU